rnacentral:rRNA from 1 species
CCCUUAGAUGUCCUGGGCCGCACGCGCGCUACACUGAUGAAUUCAACGAGUUUUACCUUGGCCGAGAGGCCUGGGCAAUCUUUUAAACCUGCAUCGUGAUAGGGAUAGAUUAUUGCAAUUUUUAAUCUUGAACGAGGAAUUCCUAGUAAACGCAAAUCAUCAAUUUGCAUUGAUUACGUCCCUGCCCUUUGUACACACCGCCCGUCGCACCUACCGAUUGAAUGGUCCGGUGAAGCCUCGGGAUUGUGGCCAGUUCACUUUAUUGGGAGUUGGCUGUGAGAACUUGUCUAAACCUUAUCAUUUAGAGGAAGGUGAAGUCGUAACA